UUUGAAUCUCUCUCUCAUUAUAUUACAUGUUUCCAUUACAUGUUUUAAAAAAAAUACACAUGUAGUUUUAAGUAAACAAUUAAACUCUCUCACACAUAUGAGGGUGUUUAUGACUUUAUACUUACUCUCAUUUAGCCAGCUGAUGGUAUUUACUAACAUAAAAUCAAGCCUAUGGUAUUUACUUAAUUUAGGUUUAGAAUUGUUGUAUCUGUUAAUAUUACUCUAAUUAAUAACUGUUGCGACAAGUUUGUAGUUAUUUCAUCACAAUUGAUCUACAGUGAUGUUUGUUGUUUUUUUGUAGUGAAUGAGUGGUGUGCUGUCCAUGUUAUCGAUAAUAGUAAGUAAUAUUAUUAUGAGUAUGACAUAAAAAUCAAAAUAGCAAUAUUGGGGUGUUAUCACAUCAACAUGAGCUUGAAACAACCACCAUUCAUUUGUGAGAAUGGUUUUAUUUUACUUAUUAAAUACACAUUUGCUCUCUUCUAUAAGAACACCUAACGCAUUCUCUUACAUAAUUAGACAUCAUCGAGCAUAUCGAAAUACAUUUAUUUCGGCAGAGAAACUAAGGCGGUGCCGGUGAUAAUUUUCGUUUUCUUUCUAUAAAUGAGACUCAUCACUUUCACUAUCAAUAUAUUAUACCACCACCAAGCGAAAAAGGACCUUCAAGAACUUCUCUUAAUACCACUACGAAUCUACGAUUUAGGGUUUCAGGCUUUUUUAAUUAAUGCAGAAAGCAACCAUGAAUUAUAGAAAUCUGUUACUUUAAUUUCUUCUUCAUCUUCGCUCUUCUCAUCCUUUUCUUCAUGUUUUUCCCUGCCACAGCUGCUCCAGGAGGAAAAGGUCCAAGAGGAGGCAAUAUCAAGGUAUAUUGUGGGAGUAGAUGCAGAGGAAGGUGUGUAAAGGCAGGAUUUCAAGACAGAUGUCUUAAGUACUGUGGCAUUUGUUGCAGAGAAUGCAAGUGUGUUCCCUCUGGUACCUUUGGCAACAAGCAUCAGUACCCUUGCUAUCGAGACAAGCUUAGCUCCAAGGGCAAACUCAAGUGCCCUUAAUUCCAUUUUAUUUCUUUUAAUUAUCUACUUUUCGAAUUAUAACAAUAACAUGCAUUUUCAUGCAUGCACUUGUCUUAAUAAUAGUUUGAUUAGAGUUUUCAGUAUUUAAGUAUGCAGGCUUCUUGAUAUCGUAUUAAGCUUGAAGUUAUUGCUUUCUCGUCCUGUCUCUAUGUGUUUUUUUUGUCUCCAAAUAAAGGAGUUAAAUAUACUGUGUGAAUAAAAUAAAAGUUGUGGUC